CAUCCACUGAAAGAUACCGCCUCUGGAGAUGAGAUAGCUGCCGCCGCGGCUUUUUGUGGAGGGACAGACAAGUGAUCUGGCGGGACGCUUCACACACACACAUAUACAUAUAUGUACAUAUAUACACAUAUAUGCAUGUGUACAUACAUGUGUGCAUGUUACGUAACACACAUGGCAUCAUACUGCGUUCAGAGAAAAUGUCGGUGUGAUCCACUAGCAAAUCAAGCUACCUCUCAUAUUGAGUAUUAAUUUUACUUAGUUCGGGGUUAUCCGCUGUUGUUAUCUAUUCAUAUCUUCCGGGUCAAUUCGCCAGUAACAUAAAACGAAACGUUAAAGACAACUAUAAAUCCCCGAACGAAACAGAAAAGUGACUUUCGGGCAGCUGGAGCCGGCUAGCUGGCUAAUCAGAGCGCAUCCCGACACUAGCGGGAGAAGCUCUGAGGUACCCAGCCAGCUACCGAUGCCACUCACCGUAGCGCUGCACGUCAGAACCCGACACCGGACCCAGCUUAGCACCGUUUGCUUACUGCCUAAACAGUUGGUCUGAACGGCGCGAAGUGCGCGACUAAAGUUCGCGCAGGCAUCCCCAGCGCGGAGCCGGUUCGGCGGUUCUGAUCGACCGUGGGAUCGAUGGGCUGCCCGAUCGCCUUGACAGCAGCUGCUUUUGUAAACACGCGCCAGAGGCGCGCGGCGUCCCUCGCGGCGUCGCGCGUGGCAGACUUCGCGUGCGGUCCGGACCCAAAACGAUGACGGUAAACACAUUUUCAGAAGAGAAGGAGAACUUACCCAGAGGUUUCAUUUCCCAAAACAAAACCCCGCAUCUCACCCACAAGAUUUGGUUUGAAAAAAAUAAGGUACAUUGUUCGGUAAUGCCUGAGCCAACUGUCCUUAUGAGCAGUAUUCAUAGCAGCAUGGCUUUAAAUACAUGAGAGGGAAGAUUUGUGUGAAACACCAAGAAGGUUUCCAGAAAGGAGUGUCAGACAGCAGGUAAGAAAGGCUGGAUCUGUGCUAGGGUGAAGCAGCACGACAGAGGAUGGAUUCUGAGGGUUUUGGUGGCAGAAUGGGUUUGAGGCAGUGUCUUCAGGCUGUGGCAUGGGCUCAAAAGAUCAAUAGAGGUCCUGGGUUCACAUUCCAUGCCUGGGGGUCAGGGUCCUGUCUGGAGACAGCCCUGAUCUGGAGGUCAGCUUCCCUUGUGGAGGGGUGAGUGUUCGCCCAUGGGGAUGGAGGAGAGACUGGCUCUUGAUCAAGAACAGACUUACCAAGCCAACCGAAAACAACAAUGAAGUGGCUAUCUGUUACCCAGCGGCUUGGAUGAGAAGAUGGCCCUCAAUGGACAGUGCUUGAAUUCGAAACCACAUGAGCAGUGAUGAUUCAUUUAAAAAUAAACUGGUGGUCAGUAAAACAGAGAUUUGACAUUCUUUACGGAUUCACAAGACUCUGUGUUGCUGGCCCUUUUGAGGGAAGGUGAAAACUACCUUGUAGGAGAUUUUCCUGAUAUAAAAUAAGAGGCAGUGUCUCACACAUAUUCCACACUGUCAGAUUCAAAGUGAUUAUGAGAGCAGGAGUUAGGAGGCUUAUCUAGAGAUUAUGGUGUAUAAAUAAGGUAACAGAUGAGCUGGGAACUGGCCACCCAGUUUGGGUCUGUGUCUACGAUGUGGAUACUGAAAAAUAUUUUCAUAACAGUUUCAUAAUAGAUUAAUCCCUAAUGCUCAAUGCCUGCCAUCAAUAUUAAAUAUUAUAUGACCACUGGUUUGAGAGUGACAGAGAUAGCAUUUAAAUUACUCCACGGGCUGCCUAGCAAGGUAAAUCUGAUGGCUGUAAUAUCAACACUUUCCAUACAUAGUCUGAUAAAUCAUUCUUUAAUACUGUAUUAGACUGAAAUUGGCUACAUAUAGAUGCACCAAUAAAUCUCGACUAUUCUAGACAUGUGAUUUUGUUACUGCUGAGGUAGGAGGUAUACAAGGCUCCCUUUCCAUCAGGUUAAUCUGGUUGCUGGCAGGGAGGCAAUUGUCUUUGGAAGGCAAUAGAUAGCAUGCGAUCUGUGGUGUUUUCAAAGGGGGGCGAAAUUAACACGGACCACUCUAUUCUGGCCCUCUGGGAUUAGUGGAACAGAGGCGCAGAUGCUGCUCUUUGGUGCAGCUAAGCUAUGUAGAACUUGGGCUGUAGAAACAAAACCACAGCAGUGUUAGUGUGGAAUAGGUCUCUGUUGUCAUUUCAUCUGUAAAGGAUAUGGAUGGCAAUACAUCCAUGAUUGGCAUGACCCUGAUCCUCUCAUGCCUGUGACAAGGAACAUAAUGACUAAUCAUUUUGUUAUGUCCGUAACUAAUGCAUGUAUUCUGAUAUACUUUGUGUGGAUAAAGAGUCCUUCUAAAUUAAA